CUGGAGGGGAUGCAGGUGCUGUGGACAGAAAGUCCCCAGUGAUUUUGCUGGAGCAAGGGGAUGUGAACAGAGACAGUUUGAGGUUUUCCUUCCACUGGGUCUGUGAUGAAACCCAUUUAUGGUGUGAGACUAUCCAAUGUUUCAGGUAUUUGAAUUUUUCUCCCAUGCAGAUCUUUGAUGCCCUCACAGAGAAUUUUUAUUUUCUUUCAGAAUCCUAGAAGAGCUCCAAGCUCCCUCUCCCCUAGAGUCCAGAGUGGUGAGAACUGGGGUCUGACUUGCACCUCUGCUUUCAGAAAGGACCUUCCCACAGGCAGGGCUGUGCAUGACAGUGAGGGUGAUGUGUUCCUCAGGGUCCCACACUAGCGGUUAAUGAAGCUGGGUAUUGGAACUCCCAGCUUCCAGGCCCACACAGUUUUGCUGAUCACGAAUGAAAUCUUGAAGAACAUCCAUCUCUUGUCCACAUUUCUGCUCUACUUAAAAAAAAAAAACAUAACAAACAAACAAAAACUGGAAGCCAACAAUGGAAAAGAGGGACCAGGAAGACAAGAAGUGAACAUCUUAAAGAAAGAUAUUAAGUGUCUAAAGGCAUGAAGAUGACUUGUGUUUAUUUGGGAAUAAUCUAGAUGCUUUGCACCUGGAGCAGAAAGAACACAAUUAAUGGUGAAGGACUUGUCCAAAUGAUGAGAAAAAAUUCACAAUGUGGGCCCACUCUACAUCUCUGAAAGGAAGAAGUCAGCAAACAUCCCUAAGGGCCUACCUUUCAGCUAUUUGUUUCACUUACUCCACUUAAAAAUUUCCAAGGGACAUGAACAGAGACAAGAUCUAUUUUGAAAGUGCAAUUUACACUCUCAAGGUGUCCUAUGUUAGCUAGCACGUUAGUGAAAAAUAAGCCAACCGGUAGGAAAGAAGAUGACAAUGAAACAAGGGAGAGUGUGGGCAUAGAUAUUAAUAUUAAAUGGGUCAGGUUAAAGUUAAAUUAAUUCACUGUCUUUUAUGCUGUAUGUUAAACUGGCAAUCCAUGAAAGUUAGAUGCACAGAAAUAAUGUUCAGUCUUUCAUUCAAAGUUUCCACAGCAUUUCAUCUAGGUAAAGACGUUACACCUAAUAUAUGAACUUUUUUAAAAAAAGGAAAGAAGACCUGUGCUUUAAAAUAAAUGUUUCUUUUUUUCUCAUUAUAAAAUAAUACCACACACUCCUUUUAGAAAAACAAUAAGGACAGUAUAAGAAAACAAUUAAAAUGACAAUAAUCUUACUAUCAAGUGAUAAGCACUACUACUAUUUUUGAUACAUUUUCUACAAUAUCCCUUUUGAUACAUUUUCUAUAAUAUCCCUACAUUAUUAUAGUAUUCAAAUAAUAGCCCACUUAGUAUUCUUUUAUUACAUGUUAAGAUUGGUCCUCAUUUUUAAAAUAUUACAAACAAAACUCUGAUGAAUAUCCUGGUACAACUGUCAUAUGCUUACUUAUUACUUUAUCAGGUUUAAAAAAUUAUUUUCCACACAACAUCUAUUUUAUCUUUUUUUCCAAUUCAUGGUACAUGUUUUUCUUAUUAAGCUGGAAUUGUUCUUCAUAUGUUAAAGAUAUUAACAUUUGUAAUAUGUGUCUCAAAUGUUCCCCCAAUUUUUUAUCCAUCUCUUAAAUUAUGAUGUCUUUAUUGAUUUGCAGAAGUUGUCCAGAUGUAUUUAUCUUCUUUUGGUGUUUCUUCCAUUGCUUUUGAAAGUCCUUCAUCACCCUGAGAUCAAUAAAAUAUUGGUCAAGAAAAUAUUAUAUUUUAUCCUCAUUUUGAAAAGCAUGCAUGACAUUAUUGCUUGUUGUUUUUAAAAGACAAAAGAGAUGCAUAAAGUAAAAGAAGAAAUUGCUUUGUGCCCCUCUUGCCACCUUCCACCCAUCCCUGUCCACAUAUGCUCUUUCAAGUUUUUAUAAUUCUACUGUUUACACUUCACUUUUUAAUUUCAGAUGAAAGUUAUUUUGUUAUAUGGUCUGAGGUGACAAUCUAACUUGAGGAUUUUAUGUUUUUCAAAUAGCCAUUUUUUCCAACACCAUUGUUGAAUAAUUCAUUUCUUCUUUCUUGGUUUGUGACAGGCCCAUAUUUUUUGAGUUACAAAGACAGGAAAUUCACAAUGACAUUAUGCAACAAAAAUAACCUGCUUUCAGUGCUUGAAUACACGACUGGCUAAGCACGUGGUUAUUCAUACACCUACACUCUAUGUGGAGGCAGAGCAUGUCACUGUAGGGCAAGAGAUUGGAUUGUCCAUUUUUAACAGAAUGUUCUAAUUUGCUGAACCACACAAGUCUUUAAUUUUUCAGUUCAGUUCAGUUCAAUUCAACUGACUUAAUUUCAACCACCGUUUAGUAAUGCGUAUUAUGUGCAUUCAC
rnacentral:lncRNA from 10 species